rnacentral:piRNA from 1 species
GAGCCUCAUUCUAUAUAAGAAUG